rnacentral:lncRNA from 1 species
UUGGAUUGUCUCUCUCUUUCCAACUUCUUCAAACACAAACAAUGAAGAUACUACAGCUUUCGUUCAUAGUAUUCCUACUGACAGGGUUCAUCAAUAUAUACCUUGAAAUUGCAAAUAGGUUCGUUGGAAAUCCUAUUAAACAUGUUCAUAGACGCUCAGUAACAGCGUCCAGCUUUACCAUCAUCCCAACAGUCUACCAUCAUGCAUGUUUUGCCGCACUCGCACCUUGGCACAUAAAGAGGUUCCAACAUUUGUUAAAUCGAAAAGAAAAACCUUGCUCUUAUGGAAAUAUUUUCUAUUGGUUAUUUUUAAGCGCAGAAAAUUACUACAAUGCGCCUGUUAUAUAUAGGGAAGACAACACACAAAAUUUAGCAAUACAUGUUCAAUUUUGCUGAAACGAAACAGA